UGUUGCAACAACCAACAUUGUCUUUCCUACUCCGCCCAGCUCCUUGUGUGUGUGUGUGUGUGUGUAUACUGUGUGUGUGGGGAGAAAGAGAUCAGUCCGAUGGCCCCUUUCCCCCUGCGAUCGGUACCUUGGGAAGCCUGAAGGAGGAUCAGCACCCAACCCACCCGGAUCCGACUCUCCAAAAAGGACUCCCUCCUCCAAAGCAAAAGAGGUAAAGAGAGAGAAUCCUAGUAAUGCAGAAUGCUUUCCGCAAUGCUACAGCUAAAUCUAUGUAAAGCACAACUAUAUGGCUGCCAUAUUUCAUUAAUCUUCGGAUGGUGGAGUUGAAUGUAAUGCAAACCAGAGGAGGCAUCAGAGUUGGAUUUAUAAACUGUCUGAAUUUCUGGAAAUGAAAGGUUGUGAAAAGUUACAGUAUAUGGCUUGGAUUAUACGAUAUAGCUCCCAGUGCCUCUGUGGUUCACGAAAGUUUGCCCACUCCAAACGCGGACGCACCAUACCCAGCUUCCGGUUUACGUGGAAACCACAUGGCAAUUAAAUGAAUGGUGCGUGCGCACCUCCCCGCUACGAGCACGAGC